UUUUGCCAAAUAUACACACAGUCAGGUGCUGGAAGGAAAGGAGGAAAACUCACACAGACACGGAGGUGCACUGUCUGAGGGGAGGAUACACACAUAGUGGCCACCAGGGGGCGACAUUGGCACUGCGCCGGACAAGAAGCAGAUUGGACACUCCUGUGGGCAGUUAUGAACGUCUGAUCAGAUCGUGGUGGAGAGCAGCAGUGGGUGGAAGAGAUGGAGUGGUUUCUCUUAAGGCCGUCGCACACCGAGCAACGAAAACAACUAAAAUGAGGUCGGCAAGCUUUAAAACGAGGACCUCUUUAUGUUGAAGAUGUUCAGGUACCGGGUGCAGGAGUGCCCGUCCCAGGCGCAGUACGGGUCCCGGGCCAGGCAGCACUCGGCGCAUGCUUUACCGUACAGACUGCAGCGGUGCAGCGGAACCUGCGCCAGACCCGUAUCAGAACCUACAUACAGCUGUUGCUGCAGGGAGACAGACAGAGAGACAGACAGUGAGUCAGAGUGAUCGUCACGGCGAGAGAGAGACAGUAGAAGACAGAUUAACAGCGUGAUUGAGAGAGAGUGAGAGAAAGAGAGAGACAAAGUGAGAGAGGUAGUCACUGAGAGAAAGACUGAGAGUGAGAGAGAGAGAGUAAGAGAGACUGUCAGUAAGUGAGACAGUGAAAGAGACAGACAGUAAGAGAAACUGAAAGAAAGACAGUGAGAGACAGAGAGAAACAGAGGGAAAUGGAGAGACGGACAGUAAGAGAGAGACAGACAGUAAGAGAGAGACAGACAGUAAGAUGCAGAGAGUAAGAGAGAUUGUCUCUAGAGAGAGAGCAAGAGAGAAAGAGAGUGUGAGUGAGAGAAAGAGUGAGAUAGAAACAGUAACAGAGAGAAGAGACAGAGGGACAGAGAGAGAGAGAGAAAGACAGUGGAGACAAUGAGAGAGAGAGGGAAAGACUUACAGAGUGAGAGAAAGACAGAGUAAGAGACAGAGGGACAAAGGUGGAAAGAAACAGACAGUAUGAGAGACAGAGUGAGACAGAGAAAGAGUAAGAGAGGGAGAGA